GGGUCCGUCACGGUUUCGACAGGUUGGCGAACGCUGCUCUGUGAUUCAGGUCGAGAGUGAGUCUCCUCUCGCAAAUCAAAGGCUCAAACAAAAAGUAAAUGCGAAUAACAUCGUUAGCUUUGCUCGUAAGCCUGCUCUAGUAGCAGCUGCCUAAAAACCUCUUACAGGUUCGAGCGUCUUUAGUUUGACUCCGUUAAGGACUGAAGACCAAACCCCAACGGAUGCUCUAGUAAGCGUUCUCUGGUUGGCUUGCUAGCUAAGAUUAAAUCAGAGCAUCCUACGUUCGGGAUAAUGAACGAUUCCCGCCUUGAGGGUCAGAAAGGCUAAACCUGUGAAUGAGCGGGGGGUUAAUACCCAAUUUGGACAGCAGUUCGACUCUGCUCGGAUCCACUA
rnacentral:tmRNA from 1 species